UACGUAGGGUGCAAGCGUUGUCCGGAAUUAUUGGGCGUAAAGGGCUCGUAGGCGGUUUGUCGCGUCUGCUGUGAAAACUCGGGGCUUAACUCCGGGCCUGCAGUGGGUACGGGCAGACUAGAGUGCGGUAGGGGAGACUGGAAUUCCUGGUGUAGCGGUGAAAUGCGCAGAUAUCAGGAGGAACACCGGUGGCGAAGGCGGGUCUCUGGGCCGUAACUGACGCUGAGGAGCGACAGCGUGGGGAGCAAACAGG
rnacentral:rRNA from 1 species